AAAGAGUAGAAAACAUGAACUGUGUUUCCCUCUCAACUAGAUGUAGGCAAAACAGUAAAGAGCAACAAACACUUUGUGAACAACUUUUUUUUUUCUCUUUGUGAAUUUGAAUUUUAACUUUCCAGUUACUGUGCCUCAAGUGAUAUUUCAAGGCACUGAGGACAAAUGAAUGCCCGGGGGCUCCUUUUUGGACUGUUUAUCUUUUCAUGGGGCAAGAGAUUAUAGAGCAAGACCAACUUCGUUACUGAAGAACAAUUUCUCGCUGCCCUUAUAGGUUAAAAAUUGGCAUUUCAGUCUAAACUCUUGCCCCUGACAGGUAGUUACUUUUUAGCCAACCAGCAAGUGUCAGAAAACAAAGAGGAUCUGUUUGGAAGGAGCAGGAUGUGGGACUGCUGUGAUAAGAGAUACUGCUCAGCGCAGAGGUGCAUGCAAAGCAGCUUCACAACUGCCUUUUCCUCAAAGCCUCAGCAGCCCCACUUCUCUACCCCAAAUAACAAGAAUAAGGCCACCGCACUUCUCUACAUCUGGAGAACACUUUAAAAAAAGCUUCAGGCGUGGGUCCUCUUUGGCUUCAGCUGCCUCCUGUCUCUCCGUGUCUGCUCUGCUCAUCACAGCUGUUGAUGGGUUCUCGCCGGCUGGCCACAGAAGACCAAUACUUCCAUCACACUGCUCAUACAGCUCUUGCUCUGGAGGAAAAUGAAGACAUCUUGGCCUUGUUGAAUUUGCUGCUGAAGUAAUACAUCAGAUGAACUAAGCACAGGAGCAGAGGACUUAAUAUUUCCUCAUCUAUCAUACAAAUACCUUAAGAAAACAGCAAGGAAGCUUCAAAUGCCCAGAUUCAGCUCUGCAACAUGCACUUUAAUCAAGUCGUUCAUGUGACUCUGCAAAGAUGAGAACAUGCUGUCCUCCUCACAGCUUGCUUUUUUACGCAAAGAGAGUUAUGAGAAUAAUUUUGGUAGAAAACAGCUUAUGAUCGGUCGGAUGAAGCACUGCCAGAGCUGAUGUCUGCAGUCACUUUCCCUCAGCUGAGCUAGCUGGGAAGGAGCAACUCAAUCCACUGCGAAGAUAUGUAGCCUCCAAAGCAAAGCACAGGCAAGGCCUGACUGAUCAGAGAUGGGCUUUGAGGGAGAUGAAUCUUCUGAGCAUUGCACUGAGUGCCUUUUGGAGGUGGGUGGGAAGCAAAGCCACCAAAGAGGCACUGUAGGAAUGAGGAGAGGAGGCAGGAUAAGCAGACAGCACAGUCCCACAAGAGGCCAAGGGUAAGCAUAAGGAACGAGCUGUGGCUGAAGAAAGUUUCACAGGCAACAGGGUAAAAUUCUUCAGUUCUUCUGGUUGUUUGAUUGGAGCAGGGGUCAGAAAUAUGGAUCUUUGUCCCUUUUCUUUAUUUAUUCAUUGCAAAGAAGGAGUACAUGACUCUCACUGCAAUUUCUCCUCUUAAAUAGAAUAACCUAGAAUACCUUGAUUUUUUAGCUAACCAGAAUUUUCAAAAGAAGUAGCUAAAAAUGCAAAACCACAGAACUGUGGAGCAGCACGUCUUGCCUUUCACAGAGAAGAGGCUUACACGUUUUUGGAAAUUAUGCAAUAGCAAUGGCUAUUAUUAUUGUAAAAUAAUCUACCUGAACAGGACACUUUAUUUACCGCUCACAGGCUUAAACAGUGGAAGUUCCACAAAGAAGUCAUGCAUGCAUCACAUUAUACCUCUUCAUGUGCACUGGCACAAAGAUAAGAACACUGAUUACACAAGUUGGAUUAUACAAUCUGUAUUUUAGCAUUUAGUAACCAAGGUAUUUGCUGAAACAAGUAGUAAAAGUGUGACAGACACCAAAGAAAUAAUGUUUUUCAUUCCAGCAGAGAAUUUGAUCCUUCAGUCUUCGCACAGACUUAUCAGAAGUGUGUGCAUAACAGGAAUGUUACGGCCACAUUUCUAGAUUCCUUGUUAGCCACAGCUGGACAAGAUUUUGGACUCCUUUCUACAUCUUGGAUCUUCUGGCAGUUUUAAUAAAGAAGAAGAAAGACAACUUUUUGCACAGCACCUUCCUCAGGAGAUAGAAAUUGCAGUUAUACAACACUCCCACAGUCACACCACUAUCAUCAAAAGGUGACUUUCAGUGAAAAGAGACGGCUGUGAAGACAGCUUCUUUGUUAGCGAACUCGUGCAAAUGCUGAACAGUGAAAUGCAAUUUGAUUAUCAAAAAAUCAAACCAGUAUGAACAUUUCGCAAACUGUGUUAUUCAAUUCAAACUUCUUAGCUCUCCUCUAUCAUUUCUUGGUUCUUACAUGUUGUGAAAGAGACAUAAAUACUUUUACUUUAAACGUUGAAAACCCUUCACAUCAGAGGUUACAUGAAUCAUCUAGCCUUUUCUAUUCCAAAAUGUUUCACUGAUCAUUCAUUAUUAACUGAGUAAAAUGAAGAUAGCUAUGAUAAAUGAAAAUUUAUCUCAAAGUAUUAGAAAGAAUAUGAAAACACCAUGUUCGUAAGUACUAACGUUUAGAUAACACAAGAGAGUCCAACCCCAGUUUUUUCACUGUCACAUACCAUAUGGCUCUUAAUAACUCAUUAUUACCAUUUUUUGCUGUUCCUAGGCACUGGUAGUAUCAACCUGGUCUGCCAUUGAGCAGAAAUGCAUUCCAACAGGAGAACAGUGAAGGGACUGGAUGUUGACGGACAGGAAGCCUGCUGAUAUCAAAGAUUAGAACCUAACACAUGUCCAGAUUUUUUCUUAGCAAUAUACAUUCUCUACAAAUUCUACAUAAAUGUAUGUCCUGCUCUUGAUGAGAACGCUCAGAUUAGAGAAGAAGAAGCCUGUGGCCCUUUGCAGAUCUGAGAGUAAGGUCUCCUGAGUAACAGAGUAACUUGUGCUUUGUGCACAAGGGUUUGUGUACAGAACUUGUAGAUACCAUUACAAAAUAGUCAUUUUCGAGCAACUUGCCACAGAAAUGAGCAGAGCCUAGAGAGGAACCUUGCUGACAUAGACAAGAUAAGAAUCUAAGCUACCUUAUUUCAUGAGUCAAGAUUCUGGAUACAUCUUGUUCCUUGUCAUGUGUCCUUUCAUACAGAAAGGACAGAAGGACUGGAUUGAAGUUAGGAGGGCUACUUGAGAUGUGCUCCACAACUGAAUAUAUUUAGAAAAAAGUUUUCAUGCCAUUUUACUUGUUUGCCACUUAAAAUGUUUGUUUGUUUGUUUGUUUCAUUGCUGCCCUCUUCAGCUCAGGUUCUCCAGGGUGGCAGGUCAGGCCUAUGGAUGAGGGAAGCAGACAGAGACAGAAGUUGUGCAAAGCUGGUCAUGGACUUAAUAAGGGCUUGAUUCCGUACCAACGAAAUCAACAGGAGUUUGGCUCAUGUUUGCAAUGGGAGGUGGAUCACCGCUUUAUGCCAGCUGUUCCCUGUUGGGUAGGGAUAAUCCCCUUGAAACAAAAUAUUUAACUUGUUCUCACUCUGUUGAUGUAAGAAGGCUUCUUGUGAUAAUGCUUUCAUGAGAAUUAAAAGGUGUGUCCCAUUUUUAAUGUCAAAUACCUCAUACCUCUAGUAUAUAUUUGCCAAUUCACACACAUACACAAAAAAUAAAAAAAUCCAAGAAAUGAGACAUCUGCUGUUAGCCAUAUGGGUUUACAAAAAGUGCUACAGCAAUCUGAGGUGCAGGGUGUAUCCUCUAUUUGUUCUGCUUGCCAUGACUUGCAAUUUCCUCAGCUGGAAGAUGCAGCAAGGAGCCAGGUUAGUUCAACCAGCUGCAACUGAGGUGGGACCCACGGGCAGAUAUAAAGUAGCCAAGGCCACCGUAGGCAAAUAAGAUGACAGAAAAAUAAACUGCUAACUGUCAUGAAGGGAGUCAUGAAGAACAAAAUGUGGGAACAUUAUCAGACAGACAGAGAAACAGGAGCUGAGGGAGGACAGUAAUUAUGAUAAAAUCAGAUAUGUGUCCCACAGUCUGGAUCCAAGUAUAGCAUUUAGUCUCAGUUACAACAGUAUUUUGUUUCUACGUUUUACUGAGGAAACGAGGCUCUGACACUGCCCAGGUUGUGCCAUAGAUCAGCAGCACACUGUGGCUAUUUCUAGCUUCUGCAUGUAUUGGCGGAGUUCACAGGCACUGUGGAAGUGGGGCAUAUUUAUCCCAGCCUUGGUUUGGUUCACUCCUUCUCACCCCUCUGGCUGAGAUCCAUUUGGCUAGCAUACUUGGAACAUAAUGUCUGCUAAGCUUUAUAAAGCAAUUAUUUAAUUUGAAAAGUCUCUUUGAUUGCAUUCUAAUGAGAUUUCCAUAAAAAUAUAGAGUUCUCCACCUACUCCUGGGAACUUUUGUUUACUCCAUAAACUAUGACUCUUUUCAAAAAGCUCCAGAAGACUUCAAGAGUGGAAGCUUCCAAAGACAGAAUUGUUUGGUCUGGCAUCUGGGAACUGAGAUUUCCAUAGACUUACAUUCUCCAGAAGCAGAAAAUGUAUGGAAUUGUUUGAGCUUAAGAAAUUAGGACACCUGUACAGAAUGAAAGGAGGAAUUGAGAGAGACAACAGCAAAGCCGGGAGCUGCAUCCUGCUCUCUGUUCCAAAGAACAUUCCCCUUACAGAUUUUUAUGGCUCUCCCAGCCCUAAUAUUAAACACUUGACCUUUUUGUCAAAUACUAUUUUAAAUUAUUAGGUUGGCUGAUUAGUUACUAAAUAUACCAUAUGUAGUAAAUAGGAAAUUGUGUAGUCCAGUGCUACAGUCUCAGACCUUUCAGGUAUUGCUCCCUUGGCAUUUAGUGUCAGAACAUUGAGUCCCCUUGUAUUAACUUAAGUCACUUGGUUAGCAAGGAGUGCAUGGCAUUUUCACACAGGGUGUAGUGAUUUCUGAGGUAGCAUGACUAGAAUGUUCUCCUUCCCUUACAGCAUGUUCUCCUUCCCUUAUAGCAACCCCCUCCCAGUCCCUAACAGAUACCUUUAGCGAAAGUGCUGUAAAUACUGAGAAACCAGCUCAUGCCAAACAAUACAACCUAGACUGACUAUAAAUAAGUGCAUUUACCUUUAAACUUCUGUAAACUGGUCCUUUGCAAUUGUUUCUGCCCUGUACCCCUCUCCCAGAUGAGCUCUUCCACUCAUCCUCCUUCCUCUCCAGCACAAAUCAGCAUGCCCUGCACUGGAAGCAGAAUUGAUGUAUUUGCUUUUUCACCUCUACUUCCAUAUCUCAGUCUGGGAACGCCUGCUGUAAAACUAACCCCUCUCCCUCAUACAUCCCACUUAAAAUAUUUGGAUUUAAAAGCACGUGGCUACAAACAGUAUGACAGACACCCUGAACUACUAGUGAAUAUUUAUAGGAGUUUCAGAAGUACAAAAAAUAUCAAACUUUUUCCUGGAUCUUAGAAUGGUUUUAAUUGAAGCAGAAAAAAAAAAAAAUAGGGCAGAAAUAGUCCUGUUUAGAGGACAAGCUGCCUGAAGAAGGAAAAAAAAAGAGCCUUAUUAAUAAACACAGUGGAACAUACUUAGAAGAGCACCCCAUGGAGCCCAUGUAACUUAUUAUAUAGUAUAAGACUCAGGUGCGACACAGCAGAGAAACUGUUGAUUUGGACAACUGAUUCCUCGCUUCCAACAAAUAACAGAACUGCUUAAUUCAUCAGCAGAUUGGAACUGCUUAUGAUCUCUGAAAUAUGAGACUGGUACAGCUCCAGACAUUUCAGGACGAUCACCUACUUUACACCACAGUGACAGUUGAAGUCUGGACUAUUAGAUUUAAUAAAACCAGGUGCUCUAAGUCCUAGCAUAGAAUUACUCUUUUAUUAUUACUAUUAUUACAAGAUAUUCCUUUUUACCCAAGCAAAGCCCGAGGAAUCACCCACUUAUGUGGGCAACUGUGGCACAGGACUGGGCCUCGGAUAUGCAGAGCAGGAAUUGUAUUUUCUUUGAUUAUGCACUAGUGUGAUGGAGGCAGUCUAUGCACAAACCAGAUAAAACUACUCUUCUUCCUGCAGGAAGUUUAAUUUCUUGCUAAUUAAAAUGGGUGUGUUUGAGUACGACAAGAAUUAGGAAAAAAAAGCACUUAGAAGUCCAGCACAUCUAAAAUCACACAACCAAAUUGUUAAUGAGCAACGAAUCUUAGCUAGGAGAACCACAAUUCUCCUGUUACUGCUGUAUGCUUUUGUUUUUAAUAAUAAUAAUAAAAUAUUACUGAGGCUAGAAAUAACCCACUGCAGUUAAAGAAUGGCUGUUUAGCAAACCAUUAUUUCCAAAAUAAACUACUGAUAUCCUGCUGUGAUCCAGUAUCUGCCAAGCUGAGUUCCUCCUGUCUCUCCUUCUCCCAGAUGCCAUCUGUGUUGCCUACUUUACCUCUUGGCACGCGUCAGGGCAGUGACACGUGACAAGGUGAAGCUUAAGGCAGCUCCUAGUCAUGGCUUACAACAACAACAACAUGCAAUAGCAGAAAUGCAGCAGCUCAGAGUUUGCUCCCUAGGCAUCGUACAAGUAUUGCCAAUCCCUGACAGCCACAGAACAAGAAGGUUUGCUGCAGGAUCAGCAAUCCUAUCUGCUAAGUGUUUCAGUACAGAAGUGCUGAAAGACCUGGACAUUCAUCCCUUGAUUACAGGACAUCUUGAUGCAGGUACAGCCAGUUUCUGGCCUUGUUCAUCUCCUGUAUAAGUAGGUGCAGAAAUGGACAUGAAGAAGGAAAAGCAGUUAACAAAACAAGACAAAAUAAAAUAGUUAUGCCACACCUUAGAUCUAUUACAAUUCUUUUUACUGCUGCCACUCCAAUCCUUUUGUCUUUGUUUAGCCUUUAAGAUACUGACACCAAGGAGAUCCAAAAAAAGGUGAGACUUUUUGGAACACAGCAGGUUCACUUACACCAUUUAAGAGCUAGGCUCAAGAGGUACAGUCACUGUUUAUGCCUCUACAGGCCUUGGUCCAUUGGUUUUACUGAUUACUAAAUCUUUUUUGUUGAAGACAAAGAAUUCUACGUAACUGCAGUGCUACCUUGACCCUUGGAACCCAGGAAGCUCUUCCAGGACUACAUGAGUACAGAGCAAAACAAGAAAGUAAAAGCUACCUUGAUGUUCAUGCUUAAUACAGAGAGCUAUCUUUGUUGAAGGCCACUGUAAUACUUUGGAUCACAGAUACAAAAAAGCCAUAGAUACACAAAACAGUUUAAAACACAUGAUGAAAUUUGCCAUCUUACCCACUUAGGAUCUGAAUCAGUAACUUUGUUAAACUGUGUGGCUUACCAGAGGAUUUCCAGAGAAUGAUUUGACUUGCAUAACUGCCAUUAGCUGUACCCAUAAAGAGCCAUUUCUAAAACUAUUAAAUUGACGAGCUUUUCCCAGGUAGGUGAAAGUUGGAUAACAGAGCUUAAACACAAAGUCCCUAGCAGGAAGUCUGCAGCACAGCUGUAAAGAGUAUGCCAAGGGUCCUGGCACCUAAAUGCAGCAGGCUAGAUCACUACAACUCCCCCAGCUGAAAGCCAUCUAAUUAGUUAGAUGUCAAUCACAAAGUAGGCUGUAAAGUUAUUUUCAAGACCUAGUGGACAUUAGCCAAUUAUCUGUAGAAAAUCAUGUGAUUCGUUCUCAGAAUUGGAAUUAAAAAAAGAUUGGAUUUCACUAAAUCAGUCAUCCUAUCUGAAGGACUGUGUUUCUCAGUGUACCCAAAGGCAUCUGCUGACUCCCACAGGUAGCCUCAGUGCAAGAUCUCUCUCUGUUGAUAGUAAGGGAACCAUUCCACAUUUAUAACUGACUUUUAGCAGAAAUCAGAAUUUAGAUUAUUUCUCUAGAAGCCUGUUUCUCAGUUACACCAUUUUCAAAUUUUGUUCUCAUGCUGCUUGUUUUUCAAGCUCAACUUGUGAUCUAUCCUAUAGCUUUCCAUAGUCAACCAAAUUUGUGAAUGCGUUUGUAUUCUUCAAUAUUUCCCAUGGAGUUCAGAUGGUUUUAGUUGGUACGGAACAAACAUACAAGGCUAUCUGAUAGAAACCCUCAUGGCCUUUGGCCAAAACGUAUGUUGUUGCUGUCAUCUUGUUUUGUUAUGGUUGACCAUUUCUUCCAUUACAUCUAGCAGAAAGGAUAACACAGGCUACAUUUGCGGAGAAGCAACUUUCUUAUAUAUCAGACCAAUGCAGUGGCUCUGCUUCCUCAGCUAGGAUUGUCAGGAUUGUUACCUCAACCAGCCUUGUCCCAUCUGCCCACCUGUGUAAGUGUCAUCAAAGUCACUCCACUGCAGCCAGGAUGUCUUGAGAAAACAGUCCUGCUGAACAAGUCUGAUCUCCUUGAUCACAAAUUUCUAAUGAUAACUAAAACUUGUCCACAGCUAAAAAAAAACAACAACAAAACAACGGGAACAUACUCACAAAAUGGACACUUGGGAAGUGUAAGGUGUUAAAGAUGUUGGCGUUAACACAAUGUGCUAUAUUCUGAAAAGAAAAGCAUAGCAAAUACAUCUUUUUUAAAAAACAAAACCUUUGCAUUUAUUCACUGAUGUUUCUAAGCUAUUUGUGCUCAGUCCAGCUCCUGUCAGCUUAUCACAAGCUGCAUAUUUUCAAUGCAAUCUACUGCACAGCAUCACUCCAGCUCAUCUGGUAUUUGUUAUGUGAAAACAAGAUGGAUUUCACUAAUUUGCUUCACUUCUAUCCUACAACAAUCCCAGUGUGUAGAACCCCCUUUCUCCCUGUUACAUUGAUGGGACAGUGGUGGUAAGUCAACUUCAACAUCUCAG
ensembl:lncRNA